CACUCGUGCUAAUGGCAUGUCCUCCUAGUAGCAGCCAGUCCCGGGUAUUACGUGGAAAACCUAGACCCUGGCGUGAUUAACGUGUGUCCGGAGGCGAUAAGUGCCGCUGCCGGUUGUCGCUCCGGUGCCUCUGCUCCUAAUUAGAUUCCACUCUGAUUAAAUCGGGCGACACUGGCGACAGGUGAUCCUCCGUACAAUACUAUAAACUCCAACCAGGCAAGAGAAGAUAUUACCAUUAUUUUCAAAAAAUAGAAAGUAGGAUUUUGGCGCCCAUGAUCCAUCUGAGGAGCCUAAGGUUGAUUUUAAGCAAUACCCGGGGUGUGUUGACAAUUGAGGAACAUUGUUGUGAACCAUAGAGUUUGACAUUUUGUUUGAAAUCUAGGAAGUGCUUUCGACUAAGAAUCUAUUUUUUAAGGUAUGUGCGUUGGAUCAAAGAUAAUCAGUUAUAUUUUAAUUGCAUAUGAUGUGGAAGUAUAGGUUUACUUUAACACAUUCAAGUGCAAGUGCAAUCGAUAUAUAAGUUGCUUUGUGACAAUAUGCAUCCAUAGAUCUUUGUAAACAUUAAAUUGUUCAUGAGCCGUUAUAUUUUGUCCAUAAAAUGCUAAUUACAUUUGAAUACAUAUUGAUUUUAUCUUCCGUUGCAACACACGGGCAUAUGUGCUAGUAACUUCUAAACAAUUUAAGUAAUCUUGGAGCGGCAUUCGGUGUUAAGAUAUUCAGUACCACUAUGAUUAAUUUACAUACGUGUCGUGCAGUAGCUGAGCUCAUCGCCUUGGGAUUGACCAUGCCCGCAUGUGUUGAGAUCAGGUUAACACUGCAACCACCCUCAACGAUGAAGGAAUGGACGAUAAGUGGCGAUAAAGAUGAACUCCGUGUUGAAAUAGAGGGCGUGGAUAUGUAAGGGGUAUUGUACCAUGCUUAUCACGCUAGAGACUGUGCGAACUAGCGGAACGUCUUGCCUUCUCAGGCCGACGGGUUCAUGUUAAAUAGAUGGGGCGCACCUCCCAUAACAGCGCAUACAUUCA